rnacentral:lncRNA from 1 species
AUAUAUAUAUAUAUAUAUAUAGAGAGAGAGAGAGAGAGAGAGAGAGAGAGAGAGAGAGAGAGUUGAGCUAGAAUAUUAUCGGUAGCAAACGGCCGGAUUCCGUUGCUAUCUAUUUGUUUUCGAUGAUGGAGCCUCUAAAUCGAUGGUUGGUAUGUUGAACAUAAUUUGUACCACUUAAAAUAUCUAGAAAUUAAAUCUCAAAUCUUUUUGACACUGUUGACUCAAUGAUUAAAGGGUUGCAAAAUUUAAAACUUUAAUGGUCGAUCGAGGGGUUUGCUCGUUUAAUAGUAUAAACAAGUUUAAAUCAAUUAAAUUUUGAUUAGAAAAUUAUUUAAACUAUUUAAAAUAAAAUCUUUACUCUUUAUCUUGAUUACAGAAAUCAUAUCAUCACUUUUUGAAGAAUAUUUAUCAUCACUUCUGUCAUCAACUUGAUGCACAAAAAAAUAAUAUCGAAUAUAUGUAAUAUUUGAUUUCUAAAUACUCAAGUAGUAUACAUUAUGCUCAAUGAUGCGGAUUGUCAAUUUGAAAGCUCUAUCAUUAAAAAUAAAUCAGUAGCAGCGGGAACCGUUUACUGCCGAUAUUAUUCUAACUCAACUCUAUAUAUAUCUGGCUUGUAAUAGUAUGAAGGCCUUUUUGCUGCCAAAUAAUUUUUGAUGAUGGGACGUCAUCGGCUUCAUUAUAUUUGCUCUAUGCUAUUUUUGGAAGCAUGUAGAAAUUAAAUUUUAUAUUUUUUUUAUAUCAGUUGAUAAGUGAUCAAAAUGUUUCAAAAUUAAUAAUUUUAAUGGCCAACUUGUUGACAGUGUAAAACAAUCUAAAUUAAGUAAAAUUUUGAUAGAAAAUUAUUUAUAUUAUUUAGAGCUAAAACAGUACCUCUGAUAUAAAAUUUAGGUAUUUUAUUAGUAUUUUUUAUAAAAAUUUUAGGGUAAACUUCAAAUACCCCCUUGUGGUUUCACACUUUCUUACUUUAGUACCCUGUGGUUUAAAGUGUAUCAACUUAGCCCCUGUGGUUCCGCACUUUCUCACUUUAGUACCCUGUAAUUUAAAGUGUAUCAAGUUAGUUAGUACCCUGUAGUUUUAUUUUUCUCUUUUUAUUAUCCAUUUCACUAAUUUUUUCGUUAAAUCAGUAACAAAGUUAAAAUCAAAGGGUACUAAAGUGAAUAUUCGAUAAAUCUAGGUAGGGUAUCUGAAGUUUUUUAUAUAUAAUUUAACGAAAUAUUAACGGAGGAAGAAAAGAUAUUAACAAAGUUAAAAGUAACGGGUACUAAAAUAAAUAUUCGAUAAACUUAGGUAGGGUAUCUGAAGUUUUUUAUAUAUAAUUUAACGAAAUAUUAACGGAGGAAGAAAAGAUAUUAACAAAGUUAAAAGUAACGGGUACUAAAAUAAAUAUUCGAUAAACCGGUAUCUAAGGUUUUUUAUAUAUAAUUUAACGAAAAAUUAACGAAGGAAGAAAAGUUAUUAACAAAGUUAAAAGUAAAGGGUACUAAAAUAAAUAUUCGUUAACCGGUAUCUGAGGUUUUUUGUAUAUAAUGUAACGAAAUAUUAACAGAGGAGCCGACGAAAAGAGAAAAAUGAAAUCACAGGGCACUAAAUUGAUGCAUUUUAAACCACAGGGUACUAAAGUGAGAAAGUGCAAAACUACAGAGUACUAAAUUGAUACACUUUAAACCACAUGGUACUGAAAUGAAACAGUGUGAAACCACAGGGUGGUAUUUGAAAUUUUUCUGAAAUUUUAUUCUCAGACGUUUAUUGUGAGACUAUUUAUUAUAUAGAUAAAUAUAUUAUGUGGAAAUGAU